AAGCUUCUUCUUCUUCUUCCUCUUCA
rnacentral:sRNA from 1 species